AGCGCAGGCGGGAAGACAAGUUGGAAGUGAAAUCUAUGGGCUCAACCCAUAAACUGCUUUCAAAACUGUUUUUCUUGAGUAGUGCAGAGGUAGGCGGAAUUCCUAGUGUAGCGGUGAAAUGCGUAGAUAUUAGGAGGAACACCAGUGGCGAAGGCGGCUUACUGGACUGACAAUGACGCUGAGGCUCGAAAGCGUGGGGAGCAAACA
rnacentral:rRNA from 1 species